UACGGAGGGUGCAAGCGUUAUCCGGAUUCACUGGGUUUAAAGGGUGCGUAGGAGGGCAGGUAAGUCAGUGGUGAAAUCUCCGAGCUUAACUUGGAAACUGCCGUUGAUACUAUCUGUCUUGAAUAUUGUGGAGGUGAGCGGAAUAUGUCAUGUAGCGGUGAAAUGCUUAGAUAUGACAUAGAACACCAAUUGCGAAGGCAGCUCGCUACACAUGUAUUGACUCUGAGGCACGAAAGCGUGGGGAUCAAACAGG
rnacentral:rRNA from 1 species